rnacentral:rRNA from 1 species
GACGAACGCUGGCGGCGUGCUUAACACAUGCAAGUCGAGCGGUAAGGCCCUUUCGGGGGUACGACGAGCGGCGAACGGGUGAGUAACACGUGGGUGACCUGCCCUCAGCUCUGGGAUAAGCCUGGGAAACCGGGUCUAAUACUGGAUAUGACUCCAUGACGCAUGUUGUGGGGUGGAAAGCCUUGUGCGGCUGAGGAUGGGCCCGCGGCCUAUCAGCUUGUUGGNGGGGUGAGGCCUACCAAGGCGACGACGGGUAGCCGG